rnacentral:rRNA from 1 species
CACGUAGGGGGCAAGCGUUGUCCGGAUUUAUUGGGCGUAAAGGGUGCGUAGGCGGGUUUUUAAGUCAGGGGUGAAAUCCUGGAGCUCAACUCCAGAACUGCCUUUGAUACUGAAGAUCUUGAGUCCGGGAGAGGUGAGUGGAACUGCGAGUGUAGAGGUGAAAUUCGUAGAUAUUCGCAAGAACACCAGUGGCGAAGGCGGCUCACUGGCCCGGUACUGACGCUGAGGCACGAAAGCGUGGGGAGCAAACAGG